rnacentral:tRNA from 1 species
CGUUCCAUGGCCGAAUUCGUCAAGACAUUGCCGAUUAGAGGCGAAGAUGCAGGUUCGAGUCCCGCUGGAACUG